CUACAUUUUAGAUUUAUGAACUCUCAAAGUAGCACCUUAAUGCUGCCAAAAGAGUAUUGAGACACAUUAAAGGAAUAAUUGACUUUGGUAUAUAUUAUGAAUGAGAAAAAAAAGACUCGUACUUGAAACUAAAUUUUUCACAGCUUAUGAAAAUACUUAAAAGAUUAAUUGAAUAAAAAAUCAACCCCAAAUCUAUCAAAAAUCAAAGAAUGAGUGGCCAUAGUGUCUUAACUGAGGAAGAACUCCUCCUUCUUAUUGAAUCAGUGUUUCCAUCUCCUCCAUAAAUAUAUCGUUUUCCGAAACCCUAAUCAUUCAUUCAAAAAUACUUAAAAAAUCUCUUUGGAAGUCGACCACCCCACUCCCAUAUUUUGAAAAUGCUCUUAAUUUAUCGCAAUGAAAAUUAAGAAAACCCUUCCUUCCAAGAACAUUGUCG
rnacentral:lncRNA from 1 species